ensembl:lncRNA
CAUGACCUCUCAGCUGGCUGACAGCAUCAUUAGUGUGGUUUCAAAUGUCUUAGAUUCCACAUCCUUUCUUGCCCAAACCACAAACAAAAUCCUUUCUAUCACAGAAAGGGUGGGAAACAGGAUAGAUUUCUCUGGAUUUUGUCACAACACCACUGUUCCUUCGCUUGCACUGCAGCUAAUCAACGUGGAGACUGAGGAGUUCCAGGGACUUACGUUUGGAGUGUCCUCCUUCCAGACAGGCCUAUCUCCUGAGAUAUUUCUCAACCAGGCUUUUGCAGAGUCGUCUCCCAGGGGUUCAGUGGCAUCUAUAUCCUUACCCCACACUCUGGACAGCUUCUUCCCCCAAAACAAUCAAAACAUGAGUCGCAUUCAGUUUCAUUUUUAUGGCACAGAAAGUCUCUUUGAGGUAACUGCCACCUCCAGAAUGCUCAUGUGUUGUGUGAAAGUUCAAUCUGCUUGUUCUCUCAUACAC